UACUCAAUGGCGAAGUAGUUUACGUCGUAUCGUUAUCUGUAUUUACUGAAUUGCCGCCUUUGUGGUUUUUAUACAAAUUUUUUUUUCGUAUUAUUUUUUUUUCGUAUUUUCUCGAAAUAUGGGAGAGAGUGUCACAGAAAUGAUACAGGAUUUGGGCUGGAAAUCAUUAAAAGAAAGGCGUUUUUCGUUGGGACGGAAUCUUCUCACGAAAUUCCAAUCACCAACUUUCUCCUCCGAAUGCGAAAAUAUUUUGUCGACACCGACCUACAUAGGGCUGAAUGAUCACCACGAUAAAAUAAGGGAAACCAGAGCUCGAACGACAAGAUAUAGGUGUUCAUUCUUUCUGCGCUAUACGAGAUUGGAAUAAUACAGAAUUGUGAAGGUGGUUCGAUGAACCCUCUGCCAGGCACUUAAAUGUGAUUUGCAGAGUAUCCAUGUAGAUGUAGAUGUAGAAAACCACAAAGGCGGCAAAUCAGUAAAUACAGUGAUGCUGCUGUUGAAACAUAUUUUUACUUUAUGAAGCAUUACAGAUCCAUUUUUUUGCUCUUCCUGCGGGCGUUCCUACUCAGCAAAAUGUAGCCUGUCCAGACAUCAACGAUUCGAGUGUGAUGUUAUUCCUCAAUUUGCUUGCACCUUAUGUACUAAGAAGUUCAAGCACAGACAUCAUCUGCUCAGGCAUAUAACUUUUUAUCACAGGUAUAAGGGGCCUGAUCUUUACAGUUAGCUGGUGAAAACAAAGGAGCUGAGGGGACGUAAUCUGAAGAUGUCGUGGUGAUAAAGAUAUAGGGAUAAAACGUGAGGUGUUCAACGGGCUAAAAUCACCUUCAUCAUAAAAGGAAAAUGAUGAUAAAAAGAAGGAAGAUGAACGGCCUGACCAACUGCACUCGCCAAUCAGCACACGCAUGUGAAAAUCCACAGAUCAUCAGAUUUACAAGUAUGAAGAACAAAUUAAAGGUGUGAAACCUUCAAAAAUUUUCUGUUUCUUAGUAGGAGUUGGUCGUUAAGGAUAUUGUCUUUAGCAUGUUGCAGAUGCUUAAAGAUCUGCAUUUCUUCCAAAACAUCCAGUUUUAAGCCCUUAACCUCGGCAUGAAGUAACUCGAUAUUAACUGGAGGACUCGGCACAUGAGCCGUUUGCACAAGGUGUUCCGCAUAAGUAGAACCCUUAGUACCGUCACCGCUUCUAGUAGGAAUAUGCUCUUUAUACCUGAGACCCAGAGCUUGUCCCAUUUUCUUGACAAAUGAAUUUCUAUAAUUUCUAGUAGUUUAGAUUAUUAUUUUAUAAAUGAAUCCAGAAAAGUGUGUCAAAUAUUUAAUAAUUUCAAAUGAUUGUAUCUGUACAUUCAGAGCUAGCGCAUAUUGAUUGUAGCAACAAAAAUAAAGUAGCUAUUUUUCAUAAAUUUUAGCUUGAAAUAUAACAUAUUGUGUUUAAAAUUAUAUGAAACUUUUCAGAAAAGGAGCUUAGAUAAUAUUGACCUAUUCAAAAUUCAAAAAAUUUUUCUGGCAUCGACUACUACUGAUCAGGAAAAGUAAUGCUAGACGAGGAUGUCACUUUACGAACAUAAAAAAAAUGUCACACCCAAACAUUGUUAUGAUAGGCACAGGCCUUCUUUGUUCAUUGUGUUACACUGUUCCUAUGAAGAAGCAGAAGUGUAACAAGUCAAAAGAGAAGUUUAAUCUGUACACUACAGUAACAAUAAACUAUGAUG